rnacentral:rRNA from 1 species
CCUACGGGUGGCAGCAGUGAGGAAUAUUGGUCAAUGGACGAGAGUCUGAACCAGCCAAGUAGCGUGAAGGAUGACUGCCCUAUGGGUUGUAAACUUCUUUUAUAUGGGAAUAAAAUGUUCCACGUGUGGGAUUUUGUAUGUACCAUAUGAAUAAGGAUCGGCUAACUCCGUGCCAGCAGCCGCGGUAAUACGGAGGAUCCGAGCGUUAUCCGGAUUUAUUGGGUUUAAAGGGAGCGUCGGUGGAUUGUUAAGUCAGUUGUGAAAGUUUGCGGCUCAACCGUAAAAUUGCAGUUGAAACUGGCAGUCUUGAGUACAGUAGAGGUGAGCGGAAUUCGUGGGGUAGCGGUGAAAUGCUUAGAGAUCACGAAGAACUCCGAUUGCGAAGGCAGUUCACUGGACUGCAACUGACACUGAGGCUCGAAAGUGUGGGUAUCAAACAGGAUUAGAUACCCUAGUAGUC